GUCCUGGUCUACUUUCAAAAUGAACACAAAAGUAGUAUUUUUAACUUUUCUCAUUAUGGCUUGCUUAAUUGCAAUGGCGCAUGCUGAAGCUUCUAUGGGGCUCGCUCAAUCGUUCUUGAAAGUGAAAAACAUGGUUACGGACUUAAAUCCUCAGAAGAGCUCGCUUGGUCAGCAGCAGUAAAAUUAUAAAUAAAUGAAUUGAUAAAUUUAU